rnacentral:rRNA from 1 species
AUACGGAGGAUCCGAGCGUUAUCCGGAUUUAUUGGGUUUAAAGGGAGCGUAGGUGGAUUGUUAAGUCAGUUGUGAAAGUUUGCGGCUCAACCGUAAAAUUGCAGUUGAAACUGGGAGUCUUGAGUACAGUAGAGGUGGGCGGAAUUCGUGGUGUAGCGGUGAAAUGCUUAGAUAUCACGAAGAACUCCGAUUGCGAAGGCAGCUCACUAGACUGUUACUGACACUGAUGCUCGAAAGUGUGGGUAUCAAACAGGAUUAGAUACCCUGGUAGUCCACACAGUAAACGAUGAAUACUCGCUGUUUGCGAUAUACAGUAAGCGGCCAAGCGAAAGCAUUAAGUAUUCCACCUGGGGAGUACGCCGGCAACGGUGAAACUCAAAGGAAUUGACGGGGGCCCGCACAAGCGGAGGAACAUGUGGUUUAAUUCGAUGAUACGCGAGGAACCUUACCCGGGCUUAAAUUGCAACAGAAUAUAUUGGAAACAGUAUAGCCGUAAGGCUGUUGUGAAGGUGCUGCAUGGUUGUCGUCAGCUCGUGCCGUGAGGUGUCGGCUUAAGUGCCAUAACGAGCGCAACCCUUAUCUUUAGUUACUAACAGGUCAUGCUGAGGACUCUAGAGAGACUGCCGUCGUAAGAUGUGAGGAAGGUGGGGAUGACGUCAAAUCAGCACGGCCCUUACGUCCGGGGCUACACACGUGUUACAAUGGGGGGUACAGAAGGCGGCUACCUGGUGACAGGAUGCUAAUCCCAAAAACCUCUCUCAGUUCGGAUCGAAGUCUGCAACCCGACUUCGUGAAGCUGGAUUCGCUAGUAAUCGCGCAUCAGCCAUGGCGCGGUGAAUACGUUCCCGGGCCUUGUACACACCGCCCGUCAAGCCAUGAAAGCCGGGGGUACCUGAAGUACGUAACCGCAAGGAGCGUCCUAGGGUAAAACUGGUAAUUGGGGCU